AUUGAACGCUGGCGGCAGGCCUAACACAUGCAAGUCGAGCGGAGCGGAGGACGGGGGAGUGAUGCCUAGGAAACAGCCUGGGAGUGGGGGAUAACAUCAGGGGACGGGCGCUAAUACCGCAUAUUAUCAGAUGAGUCUAGGUCGGAUUAGCUAGUUGGUGGGGUAAAGGCCUACAAAGGCGACGAUCCCUAACGGGUCUGAGAGGGUGAUCAGCCACACUGGAACUGAGACACGGUCCAGACUCCUACGGGAGGCAGCAGUGGGGAAUAUUGGACAAUGGGCGAAAGCCUGAUCCAGCCAUGCCGCGUGUGUGAAGAAGGUCUUCGGAUUGUAAAGCACUUUAAGUUGGGAGGCGUUACCAACAGAAGAAGCACCGGCUAACUUCGUGCCAGCAGCCGCGGUAAUUC
rnacentral:rRNA from 1 species